GGGGCUUUGAUGGCCAAAUGUGAAAUUCAAGUGACAAUCCACACAGGAGCUAUCGUCUGUGAUGCAUUAUGCUGGUGCUUAAUGAGCCAUAGUGGAUAUGUAGGGCCCUUGUUUUGCUCUCAUGGCAAGGGUAUAUGAAGUGUCUAAUCUUGAAUGUGCACAAAUGACAACUGAAACAAAAACAGAAAUGGAACAGACCCACUCGCUUUCACUCUAAUCCUGUUAGUUUAAAGGCCCUUCUCCAUGGGGUUUCUAUGGUUACCCACUCUGUUUUCAUCUGACACGGGGUGUGAUAACACAUCGGCGUCACCAACAACUACAGGUUGCAGAUUGGAGUUGGACUACUUAUGCAAACGUCUCUCGGAGAUAAAGCUGCUCUAGUAUUCUCACUGGCUGAGAUAAAUCUAAAUGGGCUGUGCCAAAAUACGUUUGUUUUUUUCUAAAAUAUGAGCUAACCAGCUGGCAAAUUUGAGUGGCGAAGAAGGAUCACUGGUAAAAAAAAAAGAUGAAUAAAUAAGAAAACACAUCAUAGAUCUUAAGCUUCCCACGCAGUUCAGCGGUGUUGCAGACGAGUCAAGCUAUUGACUCUGAACGAAGCCGGUUGGUGACCUCAUAGGUGCGCAGGGUGACCCCAAAGAUGUCCUCAUGGUAGCGGUUCUCAUCCUGGAUACGGUGGAGUGCUUGCUGAUGAAGAAGCCAGCAUCCUCCAGGGUCAUGUUGGCCUGCUGCUUGAUAAUUUGCUGGACGGACUUGAGAACGUCCCCGGCCAUCGUAACAUCCCCACACACGUAGAUGUGUCCUCCCUCCUCCCUC